rnacentral:rRNA from 1 species
GGUUAGAGAAGGACCCAAAUAAGAUUUAUUGGUGGAAUGUAGUAUAAGAAAGUUAAUUUAAGUUUUCCCAUAGCUUCAUAAAAGGUAAAAUUUUUAAUGAAACCUUUUAAAACUUUUAUUCAACCCAUCUAAUCUAUGUAAGUGUAAUCAUAAACUAGGAUUAGAUACCCUAUUAUUUACACCUAAAACUGCCGGGGUAGUAAAAGAUAUUCUUCAAACCCAAAGAAUUUGGCGGCACUUCAUUCUCUUCAGAGGAACCUGCCCCUUUAUCGACAAUCCACGCUUAACCUUACCUUCCCCCAUAGUUGGUAUACCGCCGUUGCCAGAUAAUUCCCCCAAAAUAUUAUCAAACCUAACAAUUUCAAAGACUUCAGGUCAAGGUGCAGCUGAUGAAAAGGUGGAGGUGGGUUACAGUAAUUCAUAAAUUAUACGGAUAAUUCUAUGCAAAAGAAUUUGAAGGUGGAUUUGAUAGUAAACCCCUCUUAGCAAAAGGGGUUGAAAUGAGCUCUGAAAUGUGCACACAUCGCCCGUCGCUCUCCCUAGUAAAGGGAGAUAAGUCGU